UACGGAGGAUCCGAGCGUUAUCCGGAUUUAUUGGGUUUAAAGGGUGCGUAGGCGGCUCUAUAAGUCAGUGGUGAAAUCAUCAGGCUCAACCUGAUACCUGCCAUUGAUACUGUAAAUCUUGAGUAUUAUCGACGCGGGAGGAAUGCGACAAGUAGCGGUGAAAUGCUUAGAUAUGUCGCAGAACACCAAUAGCGAAGGCAUCUCGCGAGGUAAUCACUGACGCUAAGGCACGAAAGCGUGGGUAGCAAACA
rnacentral:rRNA from 1 species